CUCCUCCAUGAUCGGAACCUCUUCUCCUCCAUGAUCGGAACCUCUUCUCCUCCAUGAUCGGAACCCCCUCUCUCUGGUUUCACUCUGUCUCCCUCUCAAUGUUCACCUCCGAUCUUCAAACUCUGUGUCUCUGCUUGGCAUCUGCUAUUUCGGUUGCCAAAUUUGAGAACACAUAUGGCAUCUGCCAUCUUUGGCAAGUGAAAUAGCAGACCGUUGGAGACAACUCUUUGCCAUUCCUGUCAUUUUUUAGCUUUGGCAACUGAUAUAGCAGCUCCCAUUGGAGAUGCUCUUACUAUAAGUUGUUCAAAAUAUCAACAAAAUGAAAAGGAAAAAGAAAAAAGAAAAAAGAAAAAGAAAUGCAUCAAAUUAAACACACCAUGUGAAGGAAUGAUGCUGAACAAAAGUUACUAUAAAUUGUCACAUUAUUCUCUCUACUUUUCUGCACAUCUUUUCAUAAAAAGCCAACUAAAAUAUUCAAUUCCCAAACGAGGCCUAAAUUAUUGAACAGAAGUAAAAACCACACUCAAUGACAAAUGCACCCAUAACCAAAUUACUUCAUAGCAUUAAGUCUUUUCCACAAAUCUAUUAAAGUUAAGGGUGGUUUGGGAUGAUCUAAAUAAGUGCACUUUUUGACUUUUUAUGAAAUAUGGGUUGGGUAUGAGUUGGGUUUGAAGUGAUAGAAGUGAUGUAACUUAAAUAAGAUGAUGUGACUUAAAUAAGAUAGUGACUUUUCACUUUUUUAGAUUAUGACAAACAAGCCCUUAGUUUAUAUGACAACGAUGUCUAAUAUCGACUGCCAAAUUUUCUCAAAAACACUAUGUAUUCCACAAAUAAACUAACUAAUUCUUAUUAUAGUAACAACACAAUAUAACUGCUAAUCAAAUUAUGGUAAAAUAUGUGUCACAGAACCAAACUAACUUGACAACCUCUUGCGUGAAGAGUAUGCAGCAUACGCAUUGAACACGUGACCGAAGAAGCAUAAUGGGGCUGAAAGAAGAAAACCCUAUACAGAAAACCCUAUACAGAGACCAUGAAGAUACCCAUAAAACCAGCCAUUCGAAAGUUUGGACCGAGUGACUCGAAAAGAAAAGAAAUGCAUUUCUCUUACUUCAUAUCAUCUGCCCACAAUUAGUAAAGAUGAGAGAAAUGAGAAGCAAUUGAAAGAAGCCAAUUUCUCUUAAAACCCUCAUUUUGAAUCUCUUUACAAAUGGAAAGAAAAAAGAAACCAACAUGCUACAAUUUUCAUAAUACUAAAUAUAUAACAAACCUAACAUUUAUAAAAGAUUACUUUAGAAAUAUAGGCUGUGUUUGGGAAGGAUUUUUUUGGGUUUUUUUUACUAUCUUUUUUUUCACUAAAAGACAAAUUGAUUA